UACGUAGGGGGCAAGCGUUGUCCGGAUUUAUUGGGCGUAAAGAGCGUGUAGGCGGCCAAGCAGGUCAGCUGUGAAAACUCGAGGCUCAACCUCGAGACGUCGGUUGAAACCGCUUGGCUAGAGUCCGGAAGAGGAGAGUGGAAUUCCCGGUGUAGCGGUGAAAUGCGCAGAUAUCAGGAGGAACACCGAUGGCGAAGGCAGGUCACUGGGCCGCAACUGACGCUGAGGAGCGAAAGCAUGGGGAGCGAACAGG
rnacentral:rRNA from 1 species